AGUAGACAGGGCAGAGAGUAGCAUCUCUGCUGCAUGGUGGGUAGAGCCUUGUUGGUCCCUGACUGGCUUCCAGGGUUAGGAAGACACAUGUGACUCGUCUCCACCAGAGACGGCGAAGUGAUGCCUGGUGGGGGAUGGGUAGGAGGGGCUUCCUGGCAUCUGUCUGCUCAGCCUAAAGGGGGCAGAGGGUUGGGAGAUGUGACCGAAUAAACAGGGUUCUGACUGACGUGAGUCACUGUGUUUCCCCUGUCAAGACGCCCUGCAUGCCAAUGGAGGCCUGUGUCGCCGAGAGUCACAGGGCUCUGUGUCCUCUGCGGGGAGCCUGGACCUGUCGGAGGCCUGCAGGACUUUGGCACCCGAGAAGGACAAGGCCACCAAGCACUGCUGCAUUCAUCUCCCGGAUGGGACAUCCUGCGUGGUGGCUGUCAAGGCGGGCUUCUCCAUCAAAGACAUCCUGUCCGGACUCUGUGAGCGGCAUGG
rnacentral:sRNA from 1 species